AUUGAACGCUGGCGGCAGGCCUAACACAUGCAGGUCGAGCGGAUGAAGGGAGCUUGCUCCUGGAUUCAGCGGCGGACGGGUGAGUAAUGCCUAGGAAUCUGCCUGGUAGUGGGGGAUAACGUCCGGAAACGGGCGCUAAUACCGCAUACGUCCUGAGGGAGAAAGUGGGGGAUCUUCGGACCUCACGCUAUCAGAUGAGCCUAGGUCGGAUUAGCUAGUUGGUGGGGUAAAGGCCUACCAAGGCGACGAUCCGUAACUGGUCUGAGAGGAUGAUCAGUCACACUGGAACUGAGACACGGUCCAGACUCCUACGGGAGGUAGCAGUGGGGAAUAUUGGACAAUGGGCGAAAGCCUGAUCCAGCCAUGCCGCGUGUGUGAAGAAGGUCUUCGGAUUGUAAAGCACUUUAAGUUGGGAGGAAGGGCAGUAAGUUAAUACCUUGCUGUUUUGACGUUACCAACAGAAUAAGCACCGGCUAACUUCGUG
rnacentral:rRNA from 1 species